GGCCUGAGCAACAAGCAUUGUGGAUAAU
rnacentral:piRNA from 1 species